CCUACGGGAGGCAGCAGUGGGGAAUAUUGGACAAUGGGCGCAAGCCUGAUCCAGCAAUGCCGCGUGAGUGAUGAAGGCCUUAGGGUCGUAAAGCUCUUUUACCAGGGAUGAUAAUGACAGUACCUGGAGAAUAAGCUCCGGCUAACUCCGUGCCAGCAGCCGCGGUAAUACGGAGGGAGCUAGCGUUGUUCGGAAUUACUGGGCGUAAAGCGUACGUAGGCGGUUAUUCAAGUCAGAGGUGAAAGCCCGGGGCUCAACCCCGGAACGGCCUUUGAAACUAGGUAGCUAGAAUCUUGGAGAGGUCAGUGGAAUUCCGAGUGUAGAGGUGAAAUUCGUAGAUAUUCGGAAGAACACCAGUGGCGAAGGCGACUGACUGGACAAGUAUUGACGCUGAGGUACGAAAGCGUGGGGAGCAAACAGGAUUAGAUACCCUGGUAGUCCACGCCGUAAACGAUGAUAACUAGCUGUCCGGGCACUUGGUGCCUGGGUGGCGCNGCUACGCAUUAAGUUAUCCGUCCGUCGGGUAGGUACGGUCGCGAGAAGUUAAAACGUUAAAGGUAAAGUUAGUACGGCGUGUAGACGUUAGCGAACGGACGACGACGAGGGAGGAGG
rnacentral:rRNA from 1 species